rnacentral:rRNA from 1 species
UCAAUAGCCUAACGGCUGAACCAGCAACUUGGAGGAACGAAAAACCGAAGUCAUGAGCGGUUACCAUAUUAAUAGAAUGUGGGGCAUUUAUGCGAAUAGUUCAGAGUAAAUUUUGAUAAUGACAUUUUUUACUUUUAGGUCUUGACCAACUCAUGUGCCAGCAGUCGCGGUAAUACAUGGAAGGCGAGCGUUAUUCAUCUUUAUUAGGUUUAAAGGGUACCUAGACGGUAGAUAUUAGCUUUUAUUUCAAAAGAUAAUAGUACAUAUUUACUAGAGUUUAAUGUAAGGAAUCCAGAUGGAUGAGUGUAGGGAUAAAAUCCGUUGAUACCAUCUAAAACAGGUUUAGGUGAAAACAGGUUCUUAUGUAAAAACUGACGUUGAGGGACGAAGGCUCAAAAUAAGCAACAGGAUUAGUUACCCUAGUACUAAGAGCAGACAAUGAUGAAUGUCAUAUGUAAGAAAAAAGUUUUUUAUGUAUAAAUGAAAGUGUAAACAUUCCACCUCAAGAGUAAUAUGGCAACAUAUAAACUGAAAUCAUUAGACCGUUUCUGGAACUCGUAGUGAAGUAUGUUAUUUAAUUUGAUAACCCACAAAGGACCUUACCACAGUGUGUAUAGUUAUAUAUUUAUAUAUAUUUCGGACAAGCGUUGCACGGCUGUCUACAGUUGAUAUCGUGAGAUUUGAUUCGCUUCAUAAAUCAACGGAAUCCCUUACUUUAUUUAAAUUAAAGUGCUAAAUUCGGCAUAAGAAUCCAUAUCUGAAUUUAAUAUAUGGGAAUAUGACAAGUCAUCAUGGCCAAACAUACAAAUUGACAGUAUUGUGGGCAAUAGACGUGCCACAUUUUGCCUAGACAAAAAGAUGCAAAAUCGUGAGAUUUAGCUAAUCUAGAAAAUAGGAUAGAAUAUGGAUUG